AAAUUGCGAUAAUUGCAAAUAUUUUUAGACAUAAAUAUAGAAAUAAAAGUUAAAUAAGAGAUGAUAGUAAUUAUAAAUUAUGCUGAAUAAAAUUAAAAUAAAAUUAAAAAUAUUUGAAGAGUUACCAAUGCACCAACGCAAACACAAAUAGCAGAAAUAAUCACGAUCGUUUUCAUUUUUAUU